AUGUCUUCACCGCCACCCAACCCGUCUCUCCCGCUGCCCGUCACCUCGUCGCCUCCGGCGACCACCAUGACCGUCGCCCCGCUCCUGCCCGCGUCGGGCUCCUUCGUCGCGCCCGCCCCCUCCGUCCUCACCCUGGAGGAGGUGUCCGGGGCGCUGCGAGACCUAACCCAGGCGGUCCAAGAGAUUCGCCUGUUCUUCGUCGGGUCCUACGGGCCGUACCCGGCUGCGCCGCCCAUUGCCGCCACCGCGCCGCCGUGGCUGCUGCCGCACCAGGCGGCCUCCGCCGGGCCACUGCUCAGCCUGUGCAAAACCGAACUGAAACCAUAA
rnacentral:rRNA from 1 species